AUGAUCAUUGCCGAGGUGCUCGGGAGAAACCACAGAUGCCAACAACACAUGCAGCAUGCAGCACAGUCACAGAAACAAUUGGUACAGGCAACGGCUGAACAGAUGCGGCUUGCUCAAGUGAUCUUUGAUAAGAAUGAUUCAGAUUUUGAAGCUAUAGUUAAACAGCUUAUGGAAGUGACGGGAAAAAAUCAGGAUGAAAGCAUCGUGGCCCUCCAUGACUGUAACAGUGAUGUGAACAAAGCUAUCAAUAUACUGCUGGAAGGAAAUUCUGACACUACUUCAUGGGAGACUGUAGGAGGGAAGAAGAAUAAUUUUGGAAGAGAAAGCUCAGAAAACAAAGAAAACAGAGAGAAGAGGACGGAGAGAGAAGCAAGUCGUGGCCGGGGAAACAACAACCGCAAGGGAAGAGGUGGCAACCGAGGCCGAGAGUUCAAAGGUGAAGAGAAUGGGAUUGAUUGCAGCCAAGGAGACAAGCCUGCAGAGCGAGGAUUUGGACGUGGCAGGGGCAGAGGGACAGGAAGGUUCUCCUCUCAAAGUAUGGGGACAUUCAAUCCUGCAGACUAUUCAGAGUUGGUGUCUACAGAUGGCUGUGGGACAAAGUUGGUAGUUUGGGAAGCUGCUCAGAAUGGUACAGAAGGGGGUGGGGAAGUGCAGUCUGAGGUCCUCCAUGGACUGCUAAAGUUGGGUGCCAUGGAAGAGCCAGCUCUUGGGCCCCCAGGCCUCAUAGAGGCCAGGGACUGCGGGUUAUCACUCUUGGGCACCACAGACAAUGUGGAAGAGCAGAGAACAGAGUGUGGGCCCACAGACAGGGUCUAG